GAUGAACGCUGGCGGUAUGCUUAACACAUGCAAGUCGAACGGUCACUUCGGUGAUAGUGGCGGACGGGUGAGUAACGCGUGAGAAUCUGUCUUCAGGUCGGGGACAACAGUUAGAAAUGACUGCUAAUACCGGAUGUGCCUUUGGGUGAAAGAUUUAUUGCCUGAAAAAGAGCUCGCGUCAGAUUAGCUAGUAGGUGGUGUAAGAGACUACCUAGGCUCCGAUCUGUAGCUGGUCUGAGAGGACGAUCAGCCACACUGGAACUGAGACACGGUCCAGACUCCUACGGGAGGCAGCAGUGGGGAAUGCUACGCAAUGAGCGAAAGCAUGACGAAGCAAUACAGCGUGAGGGACGAAGGCGUUUGUAUAGUAAUCCUCUUUUCUCAAGGAAGUUGGUGACGGUACUUGAGGAAUAAGCAUCGGCUAACUCUGUG
rnacentral:rRNA from 1 species